GAUGAACGCUGGCGGCGUGCUUAAUACAUGCAAGUCGAACGAAGAGUCUUUGUAGCAAUACGAGGGCUUCUUAGUGGCGAACGGGUGCGUAACGCGUUGGUGACCUGCCCCGAAGUGUGGGAUAACAGUUCGAAAGGACUGCUAAUACCGCAUGUGGACACGAGGGUUAGAGGCUUUGUGUCUAAAGCAGUAAUGCGCUUUGGGAGGGACCUGCGUCCCAUCAGCUAGUUGGUGAGGUAACGGCCCACCAAGGCUUCGACGGGUAGGGGACCUGAGAGGGUGGUCCCCCACACGGGCACUGGAACACGGGCCAGACACCUACGGGUGGCAGCAGUAGGGAAUAUUGGGCAAUGGGCGAAAGCCUGACCCAGCAACGCCGCGUGCAUGAUGAAGGUCUUCGGAUCGUAAAAUGCUUUUCUGAGAGAUGAGAAAGGACAGUAUCUCAGGAAUAAGUCUCGGCUAACCACGUGCCAGCCGCCGCGGUAAGAC
rnacentral:rRNA from 1 species